AAUAUGAAAACAUCCUCUCUCCUAAUACUUAUAAAAUGACCUCCAUAUCUUCAUCUUAAAAAUCAUCUGGGGAACAGGGGAUAUGAGAAUUCGGAGAUCUUGGAAUCUUUCAAAAGUCUUGCAAGGAGAGAGAGGGAGAAAGAAGCCACCUAUGAGUGGAUGAUCCACCAAAUCUCAGAAGGGAAGAGGAAAUCUUGUAAUGAAGUAGAGCGGGUUCUAACGUUCUAAACUUUCUUUGUAUUUCUUUUAUGAUAUGUAGCAAUAAAGAUUAUACUUUUGAUUAUUAAAGUAUCAUGAAUUUUUUAUUCACUUUAUUUUAUGCUUGCAUGCUAGAUUAAGAUUAGAACAACCUUUACUUUUUGGAGAUGCAUCAUGAUCUAUGGAUAUGGGACGUGUCAAGAAAAGAAGAGUUGCAUACCUCGUACUUUCCGAAGAUGUACCGUAAUCUAUGGAUACAAGGUGUGCCAAGGAAAGACAGGAAAUAUGAAAAGCAGAAACGUGACAUGAUUAACCCCAAUCCAAGAAUGGCGUAGCUACGAUGACCGGCAAACCAAUUUGCCCACCAUUAGCUCCCAGUAAACAUGCGUAAUCUGAAAGCUUUCAAAGCGUGCAUGACUCUGCUCAGAACCUUUGGACAAAUGGACACUCCUUGCGCAACAGUUACCGACUCGUUGACAACGCGGGACAACCACUCGACAGCCGACUUGAAGCUGUUCAAGGGAUAGGCUGUGCUUAAGAAGCACUCGCCGACUUGCCGACGGCACUCGACAGCCAACCUUGUCACGUUCAUCUGUUGUGCCGUGUUCUUUGCCUCUCCCAAAGUGCAAGUUUCAGCAACCAGAAAAGAUGUGUCGGAAUCCUUCCACAAAGAAAGAAAAGGUGUGCGUGGUCUUUUAAAACGCAAGCCAUGAAGUCAUAAUAUCCAAUAGCGGUUUCUGGCACGUGGAUUUCAUGUUUUGCAUUGAAUUCCUCCCGAGUUUUAUAUUGUAUGAUAGCUCAACAAUGCCGCUCAAAAAGUCACCCAGCGGGUUCGUUGCGAUGCCGUUUCUUUUGAUUGGCCUGCAGUGAAGUCACGGUCCAAAAGCACUUCGCCAGCCCACCUGCCCACCUCAUAUCCACUAACAGCUCGUGGCACGUGGAUAUUAUGCGUUUUAUUUGGUUACCUGGUUUGAAAGUACACACGGUAGAAAUCCUACUCGGCUGGUUUGUUGCAACUGAGUUGUUUGAUCUCGAGAAUUGUGCCGUCAAGACCGCAAAUCGUGUGGUUGACUACGAUACGAAGAAAACUAUGGUCGCCAAAAAAAAAAAAAAAAUAACUGUUGUUUGAUUGAUAUUUUCAACGAAGAGAAAUUGCAAAA